rnacentral:rRNA from 1 species
GGGGAAUUUUGGACAAUGGGCGAAAGCCUGAUCCAGCAAUGCCGCGUGCAGGAUGAAGGCCUUCGGGUUGUAAACUGCUUUUGUACGGAACGAAAAAGCUCCUUCUAAUACAGGGGGCCCAUGACGGUACCGUAAGAAUAAGCACCGGCUAACUACGUGCCAGCAGCCGCGGUAAUACGUAGGGUGCGAGCGUUAAUCGGAAUUGCUGGGCGUAAAGCGUGCGCAGGCGGUUAUGUAAGACAGAUGUGAAAUCCCCGGGCUCAACCUAGGAACUGCAUUUGUGACUGCAUGGCUAGAGUACGGUAGAGGGGGAUGGAAUUCCGCGUGUAGCAGUGAAAUGCGUAGAUAUGCGGAGGAACACCGAUGGCGAAGGCAAUCCCCUGGACCUGUACUGACGCUCAUGCACGAAAGCGUGGGGAGCAAAC